rnacentral:rRNA from 1 species
AUUGAACGCUGGCGGCAGGCCUAACACAUGCAAGUCAACUGUGGCGGACGGGUGAGUAACGCGUAAAGAACUUGCCUCACAGAUAGGGACAACAUUUGGAAACGAAUGCUAAUACCUGAUACUGUGAGAGAGCUUUGCGUCCCAUUAGCUAGUGGGAGAGGUAACGGCUCACCAAGGCGAUGCUGGGUAGCCGGCCUGAGAGGGUGAUCGGCCACAAGGGGAUUGAGACACGGCCCUUACUCCUGCGGGAGGUAGCAGUGGGGAAUAUUGGACAAGGGACCAAAGUCUGAGCGAGCAAUUCGGUGUGAACGAUGAAGUUUUCGGAAUGUAAAGUGCUGUCAGUUGGGAAGCGGUACCAACAGAAGAAGGGACGGCUAAAUACGUGCCAGCAGCCGCGGUAAUUC